GCAGGCAGCUAGCUCUCUGCAACUCCCACUGAAGCUCAGCAGGGCUGCGCCAGGUCAGUACCUAGAUGGGAGACCGCAUGGGAAGGCUGGGUUGUUGCCGGAA
rnacentral:rRNA from 1 species